CUCCCAAAUACACUGCCGGCUUCUCACGAUACAGACAGAAAACACCUGCAAGAUCACUCUACAUAUGGUGCAGCCAGCUCCAGCCCCUGAAGUCCAUCCAUCAAAGCACACAUCUGAUAAGUAGGAGGUUUAGACUCAGCACUCCCCUUCUCAAUUGUGGCAGUGAUGAAGCGAACCAUCAGAGCCCAGAUGCACAGUACAUGGCAACAACCACAGGUAACCAUUAUGGCAAAAAAAAAUAGCAAUAGAAAUCAUUAAUGACAUGACUAAACCUUUCCAUUUUCCAAACAUAUCAGUAAACCAUUGCUCCAAUGCAUUGUCAAUCCCUGAAUGCUCGUGCAUAGUUUUACUCAGAGUUCUCAAUCCUUCUAAGGCUCGGGUUGCAGAACCGUCAGGAGCGGUGUUAUUGGGGAUAAAAGUACAACACAUAUCUCCAAACAUGGCACAGACAUCCCCUUUUUCAGCUAGCAACAUAUCCAAUGCCAUUCUGUUUUGUAUGGCCAUGAGAGAGGUGGGGGCUAGUUGUUCUGAGAGACCUUCAACAGCAUCUCGGGUUAAAUUGGCCAGUCGUAGUACAUUGUAAUGAAUAUAAUUAAUGUGGUCUACAUUCUUGUUAGGAGUUAUUGGAAUAAACGGUGAGAUUACGGGGAUAUUUUCAAAGCCUGCUGCUACUUGAUUUGCUAAUUUAUACUCAUCUAGCACUGCUCUAGGCACUCCAAUUGCAUCAAUAUAAGUGGGAGAGUUCUGCGUGAGGUCGAAGGAGUUAGUUGAGCGCUUCCUUAACACAUGUCUGCGCCUCCGAGCUGUUAGGGUAGAGUGUUAUUAGUUCUUUUUAUGACUUCACCAAUUAUCAUCAGUGGUGCCUUUAAUCUGACCAUAGCACACACUCCCCAGGCUUCAUUAGGGAUCCUAUUCAAAAGUCUCCUGUCACCACAAUAAUAGUAUAAACCAGCUCUAGCCCACCUUCCAAUGUUUAAACCAGGUUCAGGUCUGUUACACCAAUCCUGUGGAAUUUCACCUAGAAGCACAAUAGCAUUUGGAGAGAUAAAAUUGAAACAUGUAUAGCUUCCAUUGUUUUUAUAAGGGGUAAAUGGUCCAACGAGAGUUUUAUUGUUAAUUGGUGGAAAAAUAGUAACCAGUGUGGUACAGUUAGUGGGUGUAGCUGCCUUGGUUAGAUUUAGCAUACAGUUAUAGCCCCAAGUAUCAGUGGGGUACAGAGGAGCAGGUUCAGUGUAAAGGGAGGGUCUCGCAGCUGCACAGGCUACACAGUUAGACGUGUGAUUUUCUUGCACGGUCUCAGCCAUCCAUUCUAGCCAUAGGUUAGCUUCAGUAAAUCCU